rnacentral:rRNA from 1 species
UACGUAGGGUGCAAGCGUUGUCCGGAAUUAUUGGGCGUAAAGAGCUCGUAGGCGGUUUGUCGCGUCGGAUGUGAAAACCCGGGGCUCAACCCCGGGCCUGCAUUCGAUACGGGCAGACUAGAGUUCGGUAGGGGAGACUGGAAUUCCUGGUGUAGCGGUGAAAUGCGCAGAUAUCAGGAGGAACACCGGUGGCGAAGGCGGGUCUCUGGGCAGAUACUGACGCUGAGGAGCGAAAGCGUGGGGAGCGAACAGG